rnacentral:rRNA from 1 species
UGGGGAAUAUUGCACAAUGGGCGCAAGCCUGAUGCAGCCAUGCCGCGUGUGUGAAGAAGGCCUUCGGGUUGUAAAGCACUUUCAGCGAGGAGGAAGGUGGUGGACUUAAUACGUUCAUCAAUUGACGUUACUCGCAGAAGAAGCACCGGCUAACUCCGUGCCAGCAGCCACGGUAAUACGGAGGGUGCAAGCGUUAAUCGGAAUUACUGGGCGUAAAGCGCACGCAGGCGGUUUGUUAAGUCAGAUGUGAAAUCCCCGGGCUCAACCUGGGAACUGCAUUUGAAACUGGCAAGCUAGAGUCUCGUAGAGGGGGGUAGAAUUCCAGGUGUAGCGGUGAAAUGCGUAGAGAUCUGGAGGAAUACCGGUGGCGAAGGCGGCCCCCUGGACGAAGACUGACGCUCAGGUGCGAAAGCGUGGGGAGCAAACAGGAUUAGAUACCCUGGUAGUCCACGCUGUAAACGAUGUCGAUUUGGAGGUUGUGCCCUUGAGGCGUGGCUUCCGGAGCUAACGCGUUAAAUCGACCGCCUGGGGAGUACGGCCGCAAGGUUAAAACUCAAAGGAAUUGAC